UGGGCCACGCCCACAUGGGUGACGCCCCACCCCCCCCGUGGAGCUGUAUGUAAAUGUGGCGGCCAUGUUGGCUGAGGGGUGAAGUUGAAGCGGCGCUGUUCAAGGGGGCAACAGAUGGUAUCUGCCAUGCCUACAACCUGUGCUGCGAUUAAAUGUCCGGAGGAGCGAAGCAGAGAUUCGUUCAUGAGGGGUAUCACCUUUCACGGUUUUCCAAAGGAUCCGUUUCGAAGAAAACAGUGGAGGAUAGCUGUUCGCCGACAGACUCCAGAUAAAAAGCUCUGGGAACCAAGUAAAAGUAGCUGUUUGUGCAGCAAACAUUUUAAAUUGGACAUGUUUGACAAGACUGGGCAAACUGUUCGACUGAGGGACAAUGCCGUA